rnacentral:rRNA from 1 species
GACAGAGGGGGCGAGCGUUGUUCGGAAUUACUGGGCGUAAAGCGCACGUAGGCGGCUUUGUAAGUUAGAGGUGAAAGCCUGGAGCUCAACUCCAGAACUGCCUUUAAGACUGCAUCGCUUGAAUCCAGGAGAGGUGAGUGGAAUUCCGAGUGUAGAGGUGAAAUUCGUAGAUAUUCGGAAGAACACCAGUGGCGAAGGCGGCUCACUGGACUGGUAUUGACGCUGAGGUGCGAAAGCGUGGGGAGCAAACAGG